UACGAAGGGGGCUAGCGUUGUUCGGAAUUACUGGGCGUAAAGCGCUUGUAGGCGGACUAUUAAGUCAGGGGUGAAAUCCCGGGGCUCAACCCCGGAACUGCCUUUGAUACUGGUGGUCUAGAGUCCGGAAGAGGUGAGUGGAAUUCCGAGUGUAGAGGUGAAAUUCGUAGAUAUUCGGAGGAACACCAGUGGCGAAGGCGGCUCACUGGGCCGGUACUGACGCUGAGGUGCGAAAGCGUGGGGAGCAAACAGG
rnacentral:rRNA from 1 species